rnacentral:pre_miRNA from 1 species
UAGCUUUGUCCUAAGUCAAACUUAUCUAACUUUGAUCAAUUUUUUAGAAAAUAAUAUAUUAUCAUCUACAAGUUCAAUAAAUGCAUUAUCAAAAUAUAUUUCAUGGAGAAUUUAAUGGAACUAGUUUGAUAUUCUAGAUGUUGGUGCAUUUUUCUAUAAACUUGAUAAAAGUUAGAGAGGUUUGACUUGGGACAAAGCUAA